rnacentral:rRNA from 1 species
GACGAACGCUGGCGGCGUGCUUAACACAUGCAAGUCGAGCGGUAAGGCCCUUUCGGGGGUACACGAGCGGCGAACGGAUGAGUAACACGUGGGUGACCUGCCCUCAGCUCUGGGAUAAGCCUGGGAAACUGGGUCUAAUACCGGAUAUGACUCCAUGACGCAUGUUGUGGGGUGGAAAGCCUUGUGCGGCUGAGGAUGGGCCCGCGGCCUAUCAGCUUGUUGGUGGGGUGAUGGCCUACCAAGGCGACGACGGGUAGCCGGCCUGAGAGGGCGACCGGCCACACUGGGACUGAGACACGGCCCAGACUCCUACGGGAGGCAGCAGUGGGGAAUCUUGCGCAAUGGGCGAAAGCCUGACGCAGCGACGCCGCGUGAGGGAUGACGGCCUCGG